rnacentral:rRNA from 1 species
UACAGAGGGGGCAAGCGUUAUUCGGAAUUACUGGGCGUAAAGCGCGCGUAGGCGGCUUUGUAAGUUAGAGGUGAAAGCCCGGGGCUCAACCCCGGAAUUGCCUUUAAGACUGCAUCGCUUGAAUCCGGGAGAGGUGAGUGGAAUUCCGAGUGUAGAGGUGAAAUUCGUAGAUAUUGGGAAGAACACCGAUGGCGAAGGCAGCCAUCUGGACCGACACUGACGCUGAGGCGCGAAAGCGUGGGGAGCAAACAGG